rnacentral:rRNA from 1 species
CAGUAGGGAAUCUUCCGCAAUGGACGAAAGUCUGACGGAGCAACGCCGCGUGAGCGAAGAAGGUCUUCGGAUUGUAAAGCUCUGUUGUUAGGGAAGAACAAGURUGGUUCGAAUAGGGCCGUACCUUGACGGUACCUAACGAGAAAGCCACGGCUAACUACGUGCCAGCAGCCGCGGUAAUACGUAGGUGGCAAGCGUUGUCCGGAAUUAUUGGGCGUAAAGCGCGCGCAGGCGGUUCCUUAAGUCUGAUGUGAAAGCCCACGGCUCAACCGUGGAGGGUCAUUGGAAACUGGGGGACUUGAGUGCAGAAGAGGAGAGCGGAAUUCCACGUGUAGCGGUGAAAUGCGUAGAGAUGUGGAGGAACACCAGUGGCGAAGGCGGCUCUCUGGUCUGUAACUGACGCUGAGGCGCGAAAGCGUGGGGAGCAAACAGGAUUAGAUACCCUGGUAGUCCACGCCGUAAACGAUGAGUGCUAAGUGUUAGAGGGUAUCCACCCUUUAGUGCUGUAGCUAACGCAUUAAGCACUCCGCCUGGGGAGUACGCUCGCAAGAGUGAAACUCAAAUGAAAUUGACGG